rnacentral:sRNA from 2 species
AUUAUAAAACUGCCGAGUUCCCGAGCAACGGGAAACGGGGGAACCAUUUAGUCGGGUGAAUUGGCUUCGCUUCACAGGAGCCAUAGGGAACCUUCAACCGAACCCUCCAGCUAACCUCGUAGGCAUUGGAAGGAGUCACG